rnacentral:rRNA from 1 species
UGGGCGUAAGGGCUCGCAGGCGGUUUCUUAAGUCUGAUGUGAAAGCCCCCGGCUCAACCGGGGAGGGUCAUUGGAAACUGGGAAACUUGAGUGCAGAAGAGGAGAGUGGAAUUCCACGUGUAGCGGUGAAAUGCGUAGAGAUGUGGAGGAACACCAGUGGCGAAGGCGACUCUCUGGUCUGUAACUGACGCUGAGGAGCGAAAGCGUGGGGAGCGAACAGGAUUAGAUACCCUGGUAGUCCACGCCGUAAACGAUGAGUGCUAAGUGUUAGGGGGUUUCCGCCCCUUACUGCUGCAGCUAACGCAUUAAGCACUCCGCCUGGGGAGUACGGUCGCGAGACUGAAACUCCAAGGAAUUGACUGGGGGCCCG